CACCAUCUCUUGGGGUUUGGAAUAUAUUUCAGUGAACACCGGGUAAGAGACAAGUCUGGAUGCACACCGGACAGGUGGGCAGCAUGGUGGCUUAGUGGUUAGCAGUGCUGCCUCACAGCAAGGUCGUGGGAUUGUUCCCACCUGGUCUUGCCUGUGUGGAGUUUGCAUAUUCUCCCUGUGGGUUUCCUCCCACUAGCAAACAUGCUUCUUUAGGGUCUUCUCCUUCUCUAUCCCUGACCAAAGCAGUGUCCCUCCAUCUGGAGUUGGCCCCGGGUGUUGGACUGUGGCUGUCCAUUGCUCCUAAUAGCUGGAUUGUGUCUAACUGUAGUUAGGAUGGUUUAAAUGCAGGUGACAAAUUUUGCAGUCUGAAUGCACAAUGUCAAUAAAGACCCAUCUUCUUCUUCAUAAUCAAAAAUAUGAACCAAUGAGUUUCAAAGCAUAGCCUUCUGCUGCCAUCUAGAGGUGUUGUACCUCCAGUAUUGUGGAGAAGUCAUUUCUUUGCUCCAACAUGCGUGAAGCCUAGGAAAUAUUAUAUGUAGUGGAGAAAGUCUGGAGACUCAUACCGCUGCAAGGACAGAGAGAGAAAAAAAGAAAAUGCAACUGAUGAAAAAAAGAAGCUAAAAAUAAGCCUCUGUUGAUGUCAGGGUCAUACAGCUGUCAUGGAAAUGCAAAGAUUGUUGGCUACAUAUGAAAAAGUGGAUUAAAUGUAACCUCAGCCCUUCCGACAGAUUUUGAAAAACUAUAAUUAAAGGUUUUCACUCUGAAGAUGCUUUUUUUCCCCCCUUCAGUAGAGCUGGUGCUUUCAUGUUCUACAUGACAUCAGUUUCCUUCAAUCUAAGACGCCUCACUGCUCGCUUACUAUUGAUGCAAAUACUGCUUGAUCCCAAAUAUAAAACACAGUGUGACUCGAUGGCCCAGGUGUUUGCAAAUAUACUAUUUCAUGGCUCAGCAUACUUUGCUCAGUAAACCAUUUAUUCAAGUUUUUCCAACUAAAAAACAAAAUAUUUACAAUAUGAUCACUAGUGCAGGUCUGAGCUCCAGUUACACUCAAAGAUGACAACACUGAAACAUGACACAUACACACACCUAUAUAUGUAUUUAUAUGUGUGUGUGUGGUGUGUG